AUCCCCUCCUAGUUGGAAGGGGAUGGCUAGAGUGGGCUGGAGUUGGGCAUCUCCUUCCCCCCAGGUGAGCUAGGCUCUGAUAAAACCCCAGCAGGUUAGGCUCUGGUUAACUAGUUUCCCUGAGGCCAGGUGUUCUUAAGAAGGACAUAGUGCUCUGAUGUAUGUCAAAAAGGUUCUUUUCCGCUUCCCCUGCCAGAAGCAGGAGGGGGUUUUUCUCCAACAUAUUGUGGCAAUCUAGUUGAGCUCCUGGAAGUAAAUCUCACAAAACUGUGGUGCCUUGCAGUGACUGGGUCGCCCUCGGGUUUAUAGCUCUCAGUUUUGUCCACACUGAGCCUCCAUCAACUCAUCAAUCACAGCUCUGGCUUUCCUGCCCCGGCCCUGCUUCCUGUGGUGGUUUUAGCUGUGAAUCUCUGCUCUGAGACUGAUGUAUCAAGAGAAUGCAGCUGUCACAAUUAAGAAGAAAAGACAUUUAAGCCACCAUAGACAGAAGAUACUGCUAUAAUAAACGGAACCUACAAAAUAUGAAGGUUAAAAGAAAAGGAGAGUGCUGUAAAAACAAGGCAUGCGUGUUCUAAAGCUUCAGUGGGAAAUUCUCGAAUAAUCUGAAGUGAGGCACUUAGGUUACUACAGGAAAUGGAUGGAAAAGGCCAUUAAGCAUUGCUGUCAUCUAAGUAUCAUUUUCAUAUUACUUGAGAAAUGCAGACAGUUGGAACUGGGGUGCAAAAGAAUAGAGGAUUGUGAGGGUGGAGCCAAGAAGGGAGAAUAUCAUCGGGAUGGAAGAGAUGUCAUAGAGACAGCGCUAAUGUCAGACGUGAAGAUUGUGGAAACAUGUGCUUUUUGGACGGGUGUACCAGCCAGAGAACUAUACUCUGACAGUGCUCUGAAGAUUAGCUCUGAGCUAACAUCUACCACCAAUCCUCCUCUUCUUUUGCUGAGGAAGACUGGCCCUGAGCUAACAUCUGUGCCCAUCUUCCUCUACUUUAUAUGUGGGACACCUACCACGGCAUGGCUUGACAAGCGGUGCCAUGUCUGCACCCAGGAUCCAAACUGGCGAACCCCGGGCUGCCAAAGCAGAACGUGCACACUUAACCAUUGCGCCACCAGGUCGGCCCCCAUAGAUAUUUUGAAUAUUGAGGGUCAGAGAUCUGAAUCUAAAUCUUGUUUCAGAUUUCCACAAUUUCCUUUAAAGGAGUAGAGCUAAUCUCCUGAGAAACAACAUAGGGUGGCAAUUUCCACAAAAUCUGUAAUAAUCUGAUUUCCUCUUAGAGCAUUCCAAAUAUGUAUAGGAUGAUAUCUGGAAGGUACUAUAGACCAUGAAC
rnacentral:lncRNA from 1 species